rnacentral:tRNA from 1 species
GUAGUGAUGGUUCAGUGGUAGAAUUCUCGUCUUCCAGGCGGGAGACUCAGGUUCAAUUCCCAACCAAUGCU